GACGAACGCUGGCGGCGUGCCUAAUACAUGCAAGUUGAGCGCUGAAGGUUGGUACUUGUACCAACUGGAUGAGCAGCGAACGGGUGAGUAACGCGUGGGGAAUCUGCCUUUGAGCGGGGGACAACAUUUGGAAACGAAUGCUAAUACCGCAUAAAAACUUUAAACACAAGUUUUAAGUUUGAAAGAUGCAAUUGCAUCACUCAAAGAUGAUCCCGCGUUGUAUUAGCUAGUUGGUGAGGUAAAGGCUCACCAAGGCGAUGAUACAUAGCCGACCUGAGAGGGUGAUCGGCCACAUUGGGACUGAGACACGGCCCAAACUCCUACGGGAGGCAGCAGUAGGAAUCUUCGGCAAUGGACGAAAGUCUGACCGAGCAACGCCGCGUGAGUGAAGAAGGUUUUCGGAUCGUAAAACUCUGUUGGUAGAGAAGAACGUUGGUGAGAGUGGAAAGCUCAUCAAGUGACGGUAACUACCCAGAAAGGGACGGCUAACUACGUG
rnacentral:rRNA from 1 species